UGGGGAAUUUUGCACAAUGGCGGAAACUCUGAUGCAGCGACGCCGCGUGAGUGAUGAAGAUCUUCGGAUUGUAAAACUCUGUCCUUAGUGAAGAUAAUGACAGUAACUAAGAAGCAAGCCCUGGCUAAAUACGUGCCAGCAGCCGCGGUAAUACGUAUGGGGCAAGCGUUGUCCGGAAUUAUUGGGCGUAAAGGGUACGUAGGCGGUUUAAUAAGUCCUAAUUAAAAGGCUAUGGCUCAACCAUAGUAUGGUUAGGAAACUGUUUAACUUGAGUAGAUGAGGGGAAAGUGGAAUUCCAUGUGUAGCGGUGAAAUGCGUAGAUAUAUGGAGGAACACCAAUGGCGAAGGCAACUUUCUGGAAUCAAACUGACGCUGAGGUACGAAGGCGUGGGGAGCAAACAGG
rnacentral:rRNA from 1 species